UCCAAUUGCACCAAACUAACAAAAGAGAGAGGCUAAAGUCUAAAUAACAGUAGAUGGAGCCUCUUCUUAAAAAAAAGAAAAAGAAAAGAAAAGCAGCAGAUGGAGAGUUAGGAGGCCAAUAUAUAAAUAAGAAAACUUGCUCGAUAUUUCGUCAGGGCUUUGAUUCAAACCAUUUUCGCGGUCGCCGUUCCCCUCCAUUUCUGCUUUAUUCUCUCCAAGAGUAUCAAUUAUUUUGCGUCGACUUACAGCAGCAAUACCGCCACAAAAUCAAUCGAGAAUCAUGGCCUUGGAGGAGGCGCCGCUGCCUCUGAGCUACAUUACCGGAGGUGGUGUUGAAUAAGAGGAAAAACAACGAGCCGUGGGCAAUCAGAAGGAAACUACAGCAACAUCAUACAUGAGAGGGCUAAACGCCACAAUCGGGCAGUUUUUGUCAUUAAGAAUCCCGUAUCGAUGCUACGAUGCAUCAUCCACUCCAUGUAAACUCACAUUCACACACUAUGGCGAAAACUGUGUAUGUUAGCAUCCACGAUGAAAAUUAGAAAGUAACCUUGGUUUAUGAUUUCAUUUUGCAUCCUCAUAGAUACAAAUUAAUAUUUGAAUAUGCGAAUUAGAGUAUUUUUGGAAGCGCAGAUUUGGUUAAUUUGGUAUUGCUGUUUAUUGUUUUUUUUUUUUUUUUUCGGAUUUGGCCUCGAGAUGAGUUUUAUGAUCAUGAGAUUGAGAUAAAUAUUCAGUGGGUUAUUUGUUAAGAAAAAUAAAGGGAUUAUUCGUUAAAUCUUGAAGAAGGUGGAGCAUUAAUAACCUACAGGUAUGUUAAAAGUGUAUUUGGUGACUGUAUUCUAUGUUUUGGUAUUAUAAGCAUAUGAUAUAACUAUACCUUGUUCUGUUGCAAAAAAGUUUGAAGUUCACCUAGUUUGCUUUGGUUGUGGCUUCUUUAAUUCGCUGUGCAGGAGAAGUUUUGUGAGUCAAAGCUGUGUGUUAGACUGAGCUGGAUUAGCUGAAAUAAAGAUAAUGCAUUAUUAUAAGAUAGACUAAAAGGACUUAUGUCAUAGAGAUGUAAAAGUGAGUAACUCCUACUAUUGACUCUGAUUUUGUGGUAAUAAACUCGUUUUAUAAACGUUCUUGUUAGAGUGAAGCCCGUUUCCCAUUGUGAGUUGUAGAAAAUUAGGCUCUACUCUGCUCUUCAUACUGCUAGAAAGAACUUUAUAAUCCACUAGAAAAUUGAGCUUAACUGUAGUUCCAUGGGUAAGAUUCUUCAUACUGGUUUGGACUGCACUCUUUGUGGUUGCCUGCUGCUCUCCUUUUCGCCUUAUGCUAUAUUUUUCAUCUUUUGUUGUCGUCUUUUAAGAGAAUGGUAUAAACUGGUAUAGCAUAUGCUUAGCAUAAUUAUCUGUGUUUGCAGUUAUCCCAACAUUAGAACUUAGGACAGGUGAAGGACUGAAUUUACAAGAAAGGUGUAGUAAAAGUUUGACAGCAAUGGGUUCCCCUAACUGAGAACAACAUGAUUCAACAGGCACAACGACAGUACAACACCAUAUGCAUGGAAGAAUAUUGUGAAUGACAUUGCUCGUGUUGGCCAUUAUUCUAAGGCAGUCAAAAACUUUUCUCUGCCCCAUUUUGGUGAACAAUCCAGAAAAGUCUCUGCAUGGUAAGAAAAAACGAUUUGAAGAUGGAGGAGACUCUGAAAAUCGUGAGAAUCACAUAAUUGAGUUAAUUAUCAAGAUGAAUUAGCAUGAGGAAAAGAAUUUUGUGACAGAAGAAUGCUGACAGUGAUAUCAUUAUACUUGUGAAAUGGAUCUUAGGAUCUCUAUGGAGUUGUAGACUUGCUUGUUGAUUACUUGAUUGUCGUUCCUGUUUGGAGUAGCAACACUGUUUGCCUUUGAUACAGAGUUUAAUUAUCGAGUCUGAUGCUGAUGAUGUACCAAUACUUAAUUGCUGCUAUCAUAAGAGGAAUUCACGUAGCUUCUUGCCAUUAAACAAGCUCCAACUCUCAUACAAAGAUGCUCGUGACACUCUAGAGUUAGGGAUGGAAAUAAGUUGAGUAGACAUGUUUGUGUGUGCAGGUUCAAGUUACAGGAGUGUUCAUAAACAUGUGGACUUCUUUUCCCAGCCAAGUAGUAUUCAGAUAUAUUGCUCGAUCUAUACAUAGUAGAGAGAGCGCACAUUGACCAUCUUGUUACAUGUGACUUAUGUAUACAUAUAUGUGUAGUCUUGCCUGCCUUAAUGCCAGGUCAUCUGAAUUCAUCUCCUGAAACUAUGUUCUCCCAAAGGUUUGUCGUGUGCUUUGUCGCCUUCAUCGGGCAGCUUAACGGCAGAAUAAACACCAGCGCCGGCAAGAGCUCCAAGGAUUGGUGCAGUAAGGUACACCCAUAUGGCUCUAUAGUUGUUUGCAGCAAUCGCUGGCCCUAAAGUUCUCACCGGGUUCAUCGAUGCUCCGGUACUUUCCCUGCAUCACAAAGACAUCAAGAGUGUCAUGUUAUGAAAAUUUAUGGCUUUUGGUUUGAAAAUUGUGUUAAAACUUUGAAUGAUUGAUGAUCAUGGAGCUUUUUCCCCGACCACGUGCACCACUAAGUUUGAGAGAUGCAAGAUGCAUGCUCUCUCUCUCUUGUAGAAGUUAGUGAGUUUGGUUGCCGACUUUUUCCUUCCACGCAUUCUGUCUCCCACCUUUUUCGUGGAAUGAGAUUCGUUGGUGUUUUAUUUCGUAUUUCAGUUCACCACGUAAGGAGAUAGAAUCCUAACUGUACUUUAAAGUAAAAGGCAAGAGGUUUUGGAGCCUUUGACCAAACCACAACUAUGCUUAUAUUUAGUAGGAUUGUUGUGUAAUGAAUAUUGAAUAACACGUUGUUUUCAAUGUCAGUAUUAUCAUUGAAAUGAAAGAGUAUUUACAAUCAAGGGUUGGCUAUAAAGGGAAAUGUUGGUUCUGUACCUGCCUCAGUGACUCAGUCCUUCCACAUCUUUACUGCAAUUUGACAAGCAAAACUGAGUGUUCUUCUAGGAUUUCCAACCAAAUCUUGGAUGUGAUUUAAGCCUAAUGCCGCCGUGAUUUUUUCUUUAUCAUUUUCCUUUCUUUCUUUCUUUUCUUUUUAAUUCAUGUCUAAGCAUAACGUGAUUUUAGUAUUGACUCUAUCAGUCAUAAAUUUAUAAUAAUGUGAUGUUUCAAUAUUAAAGACUGGUAUUUUAAAAUCA